UUGAGCCGUGUGCGUCGACGAGGCGCACGCACGGUUCUGAGGGGGGCCUCGUCCUGAGAGGGGCGGGGCCUACCCGAC
rfam:Streptomyces sp. NRRL WC-3618 P435contig18.1, whole genome shotgun sequence.